UCGAAAUCGGUAGACGCUACGGACUUGAAAAUCCGUUGGCUUUUUAGACCGUGAGGGUUCAAGUCCCUCUACCCCCA
rnacentral:tRNA from 5 species